ACGGGUGCGUAACGCGUGGGAAUCUGCCCUUGGGUUCGGAAUAACAGUUAGAAAUGACUGCUAAUACCGGAUGAUGUCUUCGGACCAAAGAUUUAUCGCCCAAGGAUGAGCCCGCGUAAGAUUAGCUAGUUGGUGGGGUAAUGGCCCACCAAGGCGACGAUCUUUAGCUGGUCUGAGAGGAUGAUCAGCCACACUGGGACUGAGACACGGCCCAGACUCCUACGGGAGGCAGCAGUGGGGAAUAUUGGACAAUGGGCGAAAGCCUGAUCCAGCAAUGCCGCGUGAGUGAUGAAGGCCUUAGGGUUGUAAAGCUCUUUUACCAGGGAUGAUAAUGACAGUACCUGGAGAAUAAGCUCCGGCUAACUCCGUGCCAGCAGCCGCGGUAAUACGGAGGGAGCUAGCGUUGUUCGGAAUUACUGGGCGUAAAGCGUACGUAGGCGGUUAUUUAAGUCAGAGGUGAAAGCCCGGGGCUCAACCCCGGAACUGCCUUUGAAACUAGAUAGCUAGAGUCUUGGAGAGGUUAGUGGAAUUCCGAGUGUAGAGGUGAAAUUCGUAGA
rnacentral:rRNA from 1 species